UUUUGCAAACCCAGGUCAGAGUGGAAAAUUCCCCUAGGGCUCAGGCUGUGAGAAACAUCCUGCCGGGCAAGUCCUAAGCCCAACCGCCUGAUCUCAGGAAAUUCCUCACUUAGCAACAGCUAACCACCCUGCCCACCCCACUUCACAACAAGCCCAGAUCUCUCCCACCCGGACCUAAACUUACCCAGUCUGUAAGCGGGGGCGGGCUCUGGCCUUAGUUGGUGUCCCCCUCCGCGGGUGUUUGUUCGGUAAACCUGUGUUGCUGUAGAGCCGCCUCCGUCCGUUUUUCCUCCCGUUCCUGCGCUAACAAUGACAUUAUACCAAAUGUAACUGCUGGCCUAUCUAACAAAGAGAUUGCAGUGCAGAUGAGAAUGCAGCACUACUGAAGCUGGAUCGUAGAAUGCUUGUGGCUUCUUGCCUCCAUUACUUGGAAUUUCCAGUUCUGGGAAACAAACAGAAACACAACUACCAUGUUCUGAGAAGCUCAAGCCACAUGGAAAAAUUACGCACAGGGUCUCCAGGUGACAACUGCAGCUGAGCAGGCAUUUGAAAGCCAGCAUCAGCCAGGUUCCUUAAUUAAAGAUAACGUUUAAUCUGUUACCAAAGUCAUAUAUGACUUUUUGAACAGUUCUGUCAGUGGCACCUACAAGACAUACUUAACAUUAAAUAGAACGACAAGAUAAUCAAUUACAAGGUCUUGGAAACAAACCAACACACAAACCCAGAGGUGAUUUUACAAAUACACCUGUAGCAAGCUGGACAAAUGCCAGAGUUAAAUAACAACAGAAUAGUUAAGGAAACGCUUUGAAUGGAGGGAACCAGGAAGAAGAACUUGAUAACAGGACCUUGCAUAAUUAAUCGAUUGAUCACUGAACUUCAUUGUCAUAUUUCUACGGUCAAAUUUUGGGAGAAAGCUGUCGCAAAUUCAUCAGAGUGUAGCAAUGCCCGAGUUGUAACUGAGUUCCAUCUGGAUAAAACCAAGAUAGAAAUUGUGCCUCAUAAUUGAUAUUUUGAGGAUUCCAUGAAGUAAUAAAUUUAUUAUGUGCUAAGAAAUAUGUGCCUGUCCCUAGGUAGCAAACUGCAACUUAACUUCAUAUGAAAACAAUCUACAACUGUAACAUAUUCUGUAACAAAUAACUGAGACUCAGUUAAUUAUAGCAGCUGGGCUUUAACCAGUCAUGGGAUGACAACUGAUCAGACCAUGUAUCUGUAUAAGGCAAGUGCUUCAUCACACCGUGGCUGAAUCAGACAAGAGACACACCUCUUAUUACAGAA
rnacentral:lncRNA from 1 species